rnacentral:lncRNA from 7 species
AGGAUCUUGGAUGAACUGUACAGCAUUCUCCAGGACAAAGAGCUGUGCAGGAUCGCCACAGCGGAGUCGGGCCUCCUCCAGCUGACUGUGCCAGAGAUUCUGGGGUCCAUCCAUAGAAGCCUGGAAAGAAACAGCAAAUCACUUCAAAAGACACUCUUCUCACUGCUUGAUGUUCUGACCAUCCAGUUUCCCAAGGAUGUGCUGAGGAGUGUGUUGACCGACCUUCCACAAACUGACAGCACUACCCUGGACAUGUGGAGCAGCGUGCUUCCCGUGCUGAAAACGUCAGAGCACAUCUUGGACGAACUGAGCAAUGUUCUCCAGGACCAGCGGUUGUGUGAGAUCUUUAAUGUCACCACAGCGGAGUUGGGCCUCCUUCGCUUGACUGUGAUACAACCCACAGAAGAGAACAUGCAGCAGUUGUGUCAGCCAGCACGCCUCCAGAGGCUUCUGAAGAUCGAAAGCCUGCCACUCCUCUGGCUGGUGCUCACAGGCCUUGUCCUGCUGUCCGAGAGACCUGAGACGGCAGGAGUGAUACGGGCUCUGUUUCCAGAAGUCAUGGAGACCCUGCGCUUUGCCAGCACGCCCAUUACUCUGAAGGUGCUCAAUAUCUUCAGAAAUGUAAUGCGCAAUCUGGGGAAGAGGCAGGCCAGUCCCAUUGCUCUGCAGCUGGCUGAGAAGAUUCUGCCUCUUUUUAAUCACGUGUCAAGUGAGGUGCGAGAAGGUUCCAUCCGCCUCUUCAAAGAAGUGAUGGAUGCUGUGGUGUGGUGUAAGAAGGGAAACAUGAAGAAGGCCGUGCGCAGGGGCCUGCUCCCUCUGCUCUUUCAGAUGAGCGACGAGACCCCAAGCGUAGCACAGGCAUCUGGGGAAGCCCUCGUGGCGUGUGCCAAGUUCCUGAAGUGGAAGGAGCUCAAGCACCAGGCCCGGGAGGAGAACACAGUGGGGAUCAGGAUUUCUCCAGCUGCAGCAGGACAGGAGGAGAGUGGAAGGCUACCUGUGGCAGAGCCUGCCAUACCUGAAGGAUUCUCAGGCCUCCUUGCGAUGCGAGGCUGUCACAUUCCUUGGGCUGGCUGUGCAGCACUCCAGGGAACAAAGUGAGGAAAUGCUGAAUGAAAUCUGCAAUGCCCUUCAGCCUUUGGAAGAUGACGCCCAUCCGGCAGUCCGUUCCCUGGCAGCUGGGACAAUCCAGAUGCUGAGACAUGAAAGGCAGCAGGCGGCAUCAGCACGGAGCAGGCUCGCAGCGCUUUGCUGCUGGCCCUGCAUCGCCAUCUGAAAUGUGUCAAGUGAGGUGCGAGAAGGUUCCAUCCGCCUCUUCAAAGAAGUGAUGGAUGCUGUGGUGUGGCGUAAGAAGGCAAACAUGAAGAAGGCUGUGCGCAGGGGCCUGCUCCCUCUGCUCUUUCAGUUGAGCAGCGACAAAGAAUGAUUCUGCAAAGCUUCUUUGCUGACAUUUAGCUCUUAAAAUAACGACAU